ensembl:miRNA
GUCGGUUGGCCAGUCGAUCGGUCGGUCGGUCGGUCGGUCGGUCGGUCGGUCGGUCGGUCGGUCGGUCGGUCG